UACGAAGGGGGCUAGCGUUGCUCGGAAUCACUGGGCGUAAAGCGCACGUAGGCGGACUCUUAAGUCGGUGGUGAAAUCCUGGAGCUCAACUCCAGAACUGCCUUCGAUACUGAGAGUCUCGAGUCCGAGAGAGGUGAGUGGAAACUGCGAGUGUAGAGGUGAAAAUUCGUAGAUAUUCGCAAGAACACCAGUGGCGAAGGCGGCUCACUGGCUCGGUACUGACGCUGAGGUGCGAAAGCGUGGGGAGCAAACAGG
rnacentral:rRNA from 1 species